rnacentral:lncRNA from 1 species
AUGCCUGCAGCAGUUGCUCAUGAAUUAUUGGAUUCCAGAGCAAAGUUUCUCUCCUUUACCUGCGUUGGUAGCCAUGGAAAUGGUUUCAUAAAUGAUGCCAACUUCCUACAGUCCAGGGAGACACAACCCAGGUGUUCCUGUCGCAUUAGCACUGCGGAACGGUCUCAAAGUGGAAGACGGAGUCUACGGCAAAGUAUGUCUACUGUCCCCUUCUAG